CAGUAGCCGCGGUAAAACGGAGGGUGCAAGCGUUAAUCGGAAUUACUGGGCGUAAAGCGCACGCAGGCGGUCUGACAAGUCAGAUGUGAAAUCCCCGGGCUUAACCUGGGAACUGCAUUUGAAACUGUCAGGCUGGAGUCUUGUAGAGGGGGGUGGAAUUCCAGGUGUAGCGGUGAAAUGCGUAGAGAUCUGGAGGAAUACCGGUGGCGAAGGCGGCCCCCUGGACAAAGACUGACGCUCAGGUGCGAAAGCGUGGGGAGCAAACAGGAUUAGAUACCCCGGUAGUCCCUGUCUCUUAUCC
rnacentral:rRNA from 1 species